rnacentral:snRNA from 1 species
GUGCUCACUUCGGCAGCACAUAUACUUAAAAUUGGAACGAUACAGAGAAGAUUAGCAAUGGCCCCUCGCGUCAAUGGAUGACACGCCAAAUUCGUGAACGUUCCAUAUUUCUU